rnacentral:rRNA from 1 species
CUACGGGUUGCAGCAGGCGAGAAAACUUUGCAAUGUGCGAAAGCACGACAAGGUUAAUCCGAGUGGUUUCUGCUAAAGGAACCUUUUGACAGUCCUAGAAACACUGUUGAAUAAGGGGUGGGCAAGUUCUGGUGUCAGCCGCCGCGGUAAAACCAGCACCUCAAGUGGUCAGGAUGAUUAUUGGGCCUAAAGCAUCCGUAGCCGGCUCUGUAAGUGUUCGGUUAAAUCUGUACGCUCAACGUACAGGCUGCCGGGAAUACUGCAGAGCUAGGGAGUGGGAGAGGUAGACGGUACUCGGUAGGAAGGGGUAAAAUCCGUUGAUCUAUUGAUGACCACCUGUGGCGAAGGCGGUCUACCAGAACACGUCCGACGGUGAGGGAUGAAAGCUGGGGGAGCAAACCGGAUUAGAUACCCUAGUAGUC